rnacentral:rRNA from 1 species
GACGAACGCUGGCGGCAGGCCUAAUACAUGCAAGUAGAACGCACGGUUUAUACCGGAUCUUUCUACACCAUAGACUGUGAGUUACGGACGGGGAAUUAACCCGUAUGUAACCUUCCGUGUGGCGUGGGAUAACUAUUGGAAACGAUAUCUAGUACCGCAUAAUAUUAAUUAUUGCAGGGUAAUUCGUUGAAAGUUGCAAUUACACCACUACCAGAUGAACAUGCGUUUUAUUAGCUAGUAGGUGAGGUAACGGCUCACCUAGGCGAAGAUACAUAGCCUACCUGAGAGGGUGAUCGGCCCACCUGGGACUGAGACACGGCCCAGAACUCUACGGGAGGGCGCCGUAGGGAAUUUUCGGCAAUGGAGGACAGUCUGACCCCGCACAGACGCGUGAGUGAAGAAGGUUUUCGGAUCGUAAAGCCCUGUUGUAAGAGAAGAACGGGUGUGAGAGUGGAAAGUUGACACUGUGACGGUACCCUAACAGAAAGGGACGGCUAACUACGUG